CCUCUAGGACUAGCCAGCACCUUUAGUGGACGACUGAGUGGCUGCUACUAGGCAGCAAUGUAAACCCUUUUCUCACAAGGCAGGGUUUACAGUGCUCAGCCUGCAGGGACAUGCCAAAAACACCAGAACCAUUGCAUUAAGAUAUAGUGGUUCUGGUAACUAUAGUGUCCCUUUAACGACAGAUAUUCCCUGUGUGUUUGUCACUCAUACAGAAACUGUUUAACUGGAAAUUUGUGGGACUGUACAAACAAAAUACCCUUUCUAAAAUGCCUUCAGCCAGUUGAGAAGUCAUAUGUAUUUGUGAUGUCUGGAAGAGUCUACCAGCACUGUUUGUUGUGAUGUUGUAGCUUAGCUAUUGUCAAGAGUGUCCUAAAAGGAAACAUCCAUUUAAAUCCAUAACUUUUUAGAUUUCCCAUGCUUCCACAUAAUCAAAUAUCUUUCAUUAAAAUCUGUUUUCUUUAAUAUGGC